rnacentral:rRNA from 1 species
CCUACGGGAGGCAGCAGUGGGGAAUAUUGGGCAAUGGGCGCGAGCCUGACCCAGCCAAGCCGCGUGAGUGAAGAAGGCCCUCGGGUUGUUAAACUCUUUUUUUAGAGAAGAAAAGUGACGCACGUAUCCCUUUGUGCAUUGACGUUAUCAAUAAGGAUAGCCACGCCUAAUUCCGUCCCAGCCGCUGCGGUAAUACGUAGGUGGCAUGCGUUGAUUGGAUUUAUUGGGCGUAAAGCGAGCGCAGGUGGUUUGUUAAGUCAGAUGUGAAAGCCCGCGGCUCAACCGUGGAAUGUCAUUUGAUACUGGCAGGCUUGAGUACAGUUGAGGUAGGUGGAAUUCGAGGUGUAGCGGUGAAAUGCUUAGAUAUAUGGAAGAACACCGAUGGCGAAGGCAGCUUACUAGACUGACACUGACGCUGAGGCUCGAAAGUGUGGGGAGCAAACAGGAUUAGAUACCCUUGUAGUC